rnacentral:lncRNA from 1 species
GACAGAGGAGCCUGGUGGACUACAGUCCAAUGGGUCACAAAGAGUUGGACAUGACUGAGUGACUAAUACACAAACACACACACAGAUAGACAUCUAUAAACAUAUGUAUAGACAUACAUAUACAUACGGAUGUUCCAAUUCACUGGGAAGGAAAGUGUGUUUCAUUUUGUGCUGUUCCAUGUCAGAGCAUAUGUAUGUGACUGCUACUGAUGGGAAAGAGUUUCAUUUCAGAUGAGGCCUCUACAGGAACCCCACCUCCCAGAACAAAACAAAGUCCCUUUCUGGGCACAUUGCUUCCAUUUCCAAAACAGACUUUUUUCCAUGCUGGCUCAUGUGAGAACUUGCUAUGAACACAUCUCUGUCCCUUUCUGGACUUAAGCAAGAUUGGGGGACCUUUGUCUAGAGUUCCCAUCAGUGCUUGAACAUGGGGGCUGCUCUGCAGAUAUGUCAACAUAGGCCUGAAUGUUUCUUUCCAAGUGAACUCUCAUCUGUUCAGUAAGAACUAAUUUGUGCUCACUACUGGUUUCCCUUUGAGAUGGAGUCCUAUUAACACAUCUUGAUUUUUAGAGGGUGAGGGAUAAAUGGGAAAAUGGGUGCAUUCCCUUUGUAUCUUUAUUUACUUAAAGUUUUGUUUUCAGGCAAGCGAAUUCAAUAUAUGCCUUUCCCCAGGGCGAGAGGCUCACAAAGCAGAAGGAAUGUCAUUUUUCAGCCGACAGAAAUAGAGCUUUUUGUCUGCAAUAGUCACUUGCAACAGGAAGCACUCUUCAGAGGUUGUUGCUCUUGACCAAGACUAUGGAUGAAGUGGAUACAAGGCUAUACCCUGAGCACUUCCUUGGGGAAGAAACAACAUGGGGAGCUGUUUGCCUGCUCUUUGGAGGUUUUUGUCUGCAGGUGUGAAGGCACCGUUUGCCUAUUUUGGUAGAGCCUGCCUCCUGACUUCCUAACCAUUAUCUACCCAGGUGACUAUAUUCUCUGCCAAGGUAAGUCUACUGGGGGACAAAACUCUGUAUUUCAUGAUUAUCUUCAUUAAAAAAAAAAAUGCUCUUCCCUUUAUUGUGAGUAUUUGAAAGCAGGAAAGUAAUUUCAUAACAAGAUUAAUUCACAGAAAGGUAAGAAUGACUAAUAGCAUUUUGAGGAAUACCACUUCAAGUAAUUUGUUCAUACUUACAGAAUAAGGACAUACAUUUCUUUGAGCAUUUCAUCUGUUUGAAAAUAAUCUAUUCUGUCCCUGUGUGUCAUUCGAAACCCAGUUUUAGAUUUCAAAUAUGUUAUCAUGAUAAAGUUAAUCCAAGAGGAUAAAUCUUGAUUGACACUACUCUAAGGACUAGGAUAGAUAAACAAGACCUCUUCAAACCCACAGAUCAUAUCAUAUUGGAAACUGAUUGCUCAGAUCACUCUGUCAUAUUCUUAUAUCUAAAGCAGGACUGAGGAUUAAAAACCUUCCUACGGUGUCUUUGAAAGAUCCUUUCUUUGCAUGGAUGAUGGGGCAGAGUGGCUUAAUAUCAGAAAGCAUGUUCUAUAGAAUAAAAUAAAUAAGUACAUAAUUAAUUCCCA